rnacentral:rRNA from 1 species
GAAAUCUGGCUGGUUUACUAGUCCGAGUUGUAAUUUAAAGAAGCGUUUUCGGUGGCAGCCUGGGUAUAAAUCCUUUGGAAUAGGGUAUCAUAGAGGGUGAGAAUCCCGUCUUUGACCUAGUGCAUGCUACUAUGUGAUACGUUUUCAAAGAGUCGAGUUGUUUGGGAAUGCAGCUCAAAAUGGGUGGUAAAUUUCAUCUAAAGCUAAAUAUUGGCGAGAGACCGAUAGCGAACAAGUACCGUGAGGGAAAGAUGAAAAGAACUUUGAAAAGAGAGUUAAACAGUGCGUGAAAUUGUUGAAAGGGAAACGUUUGACACCAGUCAUGUGGGUGGAAAAUCAGUCUUUUGCAUUGGGGAGUUGUAAAGGUUCGGACCGCAAGGCCGGCUUUUGCUUCAUCUUUGGUGUAAGGGAUGCACUUUUUCAUCUACAGGUCAACAUCAGUUUCUUUUGCUGGACAAAACUCCGAGAGAAGGUAGCAGCUUAGGCUGUGUUAUAGCUCUGGAGCGAUACAGUGAAGGGGACUGAGGUUUUCGCAGCGUGUGCUCUCGGGCAAGGCUGGAUGGGUGCUAUGGGAUCGUUCGGGGUACAAUGCCUGGCAUUUUGCUUCGUGUCUUUUCUAUACUCGCUCAACUCAGCUCUUCCACGCUUAGGAUGUUGACUUAAUGGUUUUAAACGACCCGUCUUGAAACACGGACCAAGGAGUCUAACAUAUAUGCAAGUGUUUGGGUGGCAAACCCAUGCGCGUAAUGAAAGUGAACGUAGGUGCCAUCCGCAAGGUGCAGCAUCGACCGAUCUUGAUAUUUUUGGAUAGAUUUGAGUAAGAGCAUAUAUGCUGGGACCCGAAA